rnacentral:other from 1 species
UUUUCCCUGCAUAGUACGUACAUUAGAAUUUUUAGAACCUACAAGUUUAAAGAGGGACCGAUCUCAAAGUAUGGCGUGCAAGCUCACAUUAUAUAGUGAGAAGCCCAGGAGUAUUUUGGUAGGAACCCACCUGUUUGUGAAGAGCAGGUCCUUAAAAAUUCGGCAACUACGGCUAAGGCGGGGUUUUU